rnacentral:misc_RNA from 1 species
CUUAAGCAUAUCAUUAGCGGAGGAAAUGAAACCAACAGGGAUUGCCUUAGUAACGGCGAGUGAAGCGGCAUCAGCUCAAAUUUGAAAUCUGGCUCUUUCAGAGUCCGAGUUGUAAUUUGCAGAGGGCGCUUUGGCGUUGGCAGCGGUCCAAGUUCCUUGGAACAGGACGUCACAGAGGGUGAGAAUCCCGUACGUGGUCGCUGGCCUUCACCGUGUAAAGCCCCUUCGACGAGUCGAGUUGUUUGGGAAUGCAGCUCUAAAUGGGAGGUAAAUUUCUUCUAAAGCUAAAUACUGGCCAGAGACCGAUAGCGCACAAGUAGAGUGAUCGAAAGAUGAAAAGCACUUUGGAAAGAGAGUCAAAUAGCACGUGAAAUUGUUGAAAGGGAAGCGCUUGCAGCCAGACUUGCCUGUAGUUGCUCAUCCGGGCUUUUGCCCGGUGCAUUCUUCUGUAGGCAGGCCAGCAUCAGUUUGGGCGGUUGGAUAAAGGCCUCUGUCAUGUACCUCCUUUCGGGGAGGCCUUAUAGGGGAGGCGACAUGCAACCAGCCUGGACUGAGGUCCGCGCAUCUGCUAGGAUGCUGGCGUAAUGGCUGUAAGCGGCCCGUCUUGAAACACGGACCAAGGAGUCUAACAUCUAUGCGAGUGUUUGGGUGUCAAGCCCGAGCGCGCAAUGAAAGUGAACGGAGGUGGGAUCCCUUAAGGGUGCACCAUCGACCGAUCCUGAUGUCUUCGGAUGGAUUUGAGUAAGAGCAUGGCUGUUGGGACCCGAAAGAUGGUGAACUAUGCUUGAAUAGGGUGAAGCCAGAGGAAACUCUGGUGGAGGCUCGCAGCGGUUCUGACGUGCAAAUCGAUCGUCAAAUUUGGGCAUAGGGGCGAAAGACUAAUC